rnacentral:rRNA from 1 species
GACGAACGCUGGCUGCGUGCUUAACACAUGCAAGUCGAACGGUCAGGCCCUUCGGUGCACCCGAGUGGCGAACGUGUGAGUAACACGUGGGUGAUCUGCCCUGCACUUCGGGAUAAGCCUGGGAAACUGGGUCUAAUACCGGAUAGGACCCUGGGAUGCAUGUCCUGGGGUGGAAAGCUUUUGCGGUGUGGGAUGGGCCCGCGGCCUAUCAGCUUGUUGGUGGGGUGAUGGCCUACCAAGGCGACGACGGGUAGCCGGCCUGAGAGGGUGACCGGCCACACUGGGACUGAGAUACGGCCCAGACUCCUACGGGAGGCAGCAGUGGGGAAUAUUGCACAAUGGGCGCAAGCCUGAUGCAGCGACGCCGCGUGAGGGAUGACGGCCUUCGGGUUGUAAACCUCUUUCAGCACCGACGAAGCGCAAGUGACGGUAGGUGCAGAAGAAGGACCGGCCAACUACGUGCCAGCCGCCGCCGUAA